GUGGGGGCACACAGGGGCCGGGCUGACCGUUCCAGAGAGCCGGAGCCAGUCCAGCAGAGGCCUCCAGCCACUGCUGCAGUUUGACCGAGUCCUGUUGGGGCACGCAGGGGCCGGGCUGACCGGUCUGGCAAGCCCGAGCCGGUCUUGCAGAGGCCUCCAGCUGCAGCUUUAGUGUGACAGAGCGUUGUGGGGGUCCCCAGGGGCCGGUCCGACCGGUCUGGCGAGCCCGAGACGGUCCUGCAGAGGGCGCCAGCUGCGGUUUUAGUGUGCCCGAGUGCUGUGCGGGCCCGCAGGGGCCGAUCAGACCGGUCCGGCGAUCGGGACCAACUCCUUCAGCAUGCUCCAGCCACAGCUGCGGAGGAGGCCGAGUCCGGUGGGGGCACGCAGGGGCCGGGCUGACCGUUCCGGAGAGCCCGAGCCGGUCCUGCAGAGGCCCAGCCGCACCUGCAGUGAGACCGAGUCCUGUGGGGCACGCAGGGG
ensembl:lncRNA